rnacentral:rRNA from 1 species
AAAAUCCAUAUCCACCUUGUGUGCAAUGUCAUCUCACUGGAGGUCAGCGGCUGUAA